rnacentral:rRNA from 1 species
UACAGAGGGUGCAAGCGUUAAUCGGAAUUACUGGGCGUAAAGCGUGCGCAGGCGGUUAUAUAAGACAGUUGUGAAAUCCCCGGGCUCAACCUGGGAAUUGCAUCUGUGACUGUAUAGCUAGAGUACGGUAGAGGGGGAUGGAAUUCCGCGUGUAGCAGUGAAAUGCGUAGAUAUGCGGAGGAACACCGAUGGCGAAGGCAAUCCCCUGGACCUGUACUGACGCUCAUGCACGAAAGCGUGGGGAGCAAACAGG